CGGGUAGCAAUACUUGGUGGCGACCGGCGCACGGGUGAGUAACGCGUAUGCAACCUACCCAUAACAGGGGGAUAGCCCGAAGAAAUUCGGAUUAAACCCGCAUAACAUUAUCGGAUCGCAUGGUUUGAUAAUUAAAUUUACGGAGGUUAUGGAUGGGCAUGCGUGACAUUAGCUAGUUGGUAGGGUAACGGCCUACCAAGGCUACGAUGUCUAGGGGGCCUGAGAGGGUAGUCCCCCACACUGGUACUGAGACACGGACCAGACUCCUACGGGAGGCAGCAGUGAGGAAUAUUGCGCAAUGGAGGCAACUCUGACGCAGCCAUGCCGCGUGAAGGAUGACGGUUCUAUGAAUUGUAAACUUCUUUUGUAUAGGAAGAACCCCAUGUUCGUGAACGUGGCUGACGGUACUAUACGAAUAAGCAUCGGCUAACUCCGUGCCAGCAGCCGCGGUAAUACGGAGGAUGCAAGCGUUAUCCGGAUUUGUUGGGUUUAAAGGGUGCGUAGGCGGAAGAAUAAGUCAGUGGUGAAAUCCUGCAGCUUAACUGCAGAACUGCCAUUGAUACUGUUUUUCUUGAGUGCGAUUGAGGAAGGCGGAAUGUGUAAUGUAGCGGUGAAAUGCUUAGAUAUUACACAGAACACCGAUUGCGUAGGCAGCUUACUAAGUCGUAACUGACGCUGAGGCACGAAAGCGUGGGGAUCGAACAGGAUUAGAUACCCUGGUAGUCCACGCCUAAACGAUGAUCACUAGCUGUUGGCGAUACACAGUCAGGGGCAAAGCGAAAGCAUUAAGUGAUCCACCUGGGGAGUACGGUCGCAAGACUGAAACUCAAAGGAAUUGACGGGGGCCCGCACAAGCGGAGGAACAUGUGGUUUAAUUCGAUGAUACGCGAGGAACCUUACCUGGGCUUGAAAGGGGAAUGACGUCUCGGGAAACCGGGAUUCUCUUCGGAGCGUUCUCCUAGGUGCUGCAUGGUUGUCGUCAGCUCGUGCCGUGAGGUGUCGGGUUAAGUCCCAUAACGAGCGCAACCCUUAUCGUUAGUUGCCAGCGGGUCAUGCCGGGGACUCUAACGAAACUGCCGGUGUAAACCGAGAGGAAGGUGGGGAUGACGUCAAAUCAGCACGGCCCUUAUGUCCAGGGCUACACACGUGUUACAAUGGUCGGUACAGAGGGCAGCUACCCCGCGAGGGGAUGCAAAUCUCGAAAGCCGGUCUUAGUUCGGAUUGGAGUCUGCAACUCGACUCCAUGAAGCUGGAUUCGCUAGUAAUCGCGCAUCAGCCACGGCGCGGUGAAUACGUUCCCGGGCCUUGUACACACCGCCCGUCAAGCCAUGGAAGCUGGGGGUACCUGAAGUCUGUAACCGCGAGGAGCGGCCUAGGUAAAACCAGUGACUGGGGCUAAGUCAUAACAAGGUA
rnacentral:rRNA from 1 species